rfam:Triticum aestivum genome assembly, contig: Triticum_aestivum_CS42_TGACv1_scaffold_321683_4BL
AUUUUACUCACUCCGUUCGGAAUUACUUGUCGCAGAAAUGGAUGAAUCUAGACGUAUUUUAGUUCUAGAUACAUCCAUUUCCAAGACAAGUAAUUUCGAACGGAGGGAGUAGAUU